ensembl:lncRNA
UGAGUCUGGCUCAGGUCACUCUUCUGGCUUAGGUCAACAUGAGUCUCGCUCAGGACAGUCCUCUGGCUACGGUCAACACGGAUCUAGUUCCGGUCACUCCUUUACCCAUGGGCAACAUGGUUCUACAUCAGGACAGUCAUCAAGCUGUGGCCAACACGGAGCUAGCUCAGGUCAGUCUUCCAGCCACGGUCAGCAUGGCUCUGGCUCAAGUCAGUCUUCUGGCUAUGGCCGACAGGGCUCUGGAUCUGGCCAGUCUCCUAGUCGCGGCCGACAUGGGUCCGGUUCCGGGCACUCUUCUAGCUACGGCCAACAUGGGUCUGGCUCAGGUCGUUCUUCCAGCCGUGGCCCCUAUGAGUCUGGUUCAGGUCACUCUUCUGGCUUUGGUCAACAUCAGUCUGGCUCACGACAGUCUUCUGGUUACAGUCAGCAUGGAAGUGGCUCAGGGCACUCCUCUAGCCAUGGACAGCAUGGUUCUACAUCAGGACAGUCAUCAAGCUUUGGCCAGGAGGGAUCUAGCACAGGCCAGUCUUCCAGCUACGGCCACCAGGGCUCUGGCUCCAGUCAGUCUUCCGGCUAUGGCCGACACGGAGCUGGAUCUGGCCAGUCUCCUAGCCGUGGCCGACAUGGGUCUGGCUCCGGUCGGUCUCCCAGCUGUGGCCAACAUGGGUCUGGCUCAGGCCAGUCUUCUGGCUUUGGUCAACACGAGUCUAGCUCAGGGCAGUCCUCUAGUUACACUCAGCAUGGAUCUGGCUCAGGUCACUCCUCCAGCUACGGACAACACGGCUCUAGGUCAGGACAGUCAUCUAGGGGAGAACAACACGGAUGGAGCUCAGGUUCCUCUUCUAGCUAUGGUCGACAUGGGUCUGGCUCCCAUCAGUCUUCGGGCCACGGCCGACACGGGUCUGGAUCUGGCCAGUCGCCUAGCCCUAGCCGCGGCCGACAUGGGUCUGGUUCUGGGCAGUCUUCCAGCUACAACCCACAUGGGUCUGGCUCAGGGCGGUCUUCCAGCCGUGGCCCCUAUGAGUCUGGCUCAGGUCACUCUUCUGGCUUAGGUCAACAUGAGUCUCG